AGAGAUUGAUAGCCCAAAUUAAAGAGUUAAACCUAGAGAUAGUAAUACCCGACUUAAGCCAAUUUUACUUGUAUUGUUUGAACACCCAAUUAGGCUUGAGAAAGCCAAUUAGGAAAAAGUCACUCAAACUACCGAGAGGUAUAGAGUGAGUAAUUAUGUGUAAUGGUUAUAUUACGACCCCUAAUAUAACAAGCUUGUCCUUAAUUUUAGAUCUCAUUAGAUACUCGCCUAGGUGUAAGUCACUUCCCUAGUGCCUUUUAUCACUUGAGAAAACCCUUACAAAAAAAUAUUGUACUUAGAUUCUUUUCAGCAUUUAUUAGAAUUAAAUUAGAAUAGUAACAAAUCCCAAGAUGUUUAGAAGUGCAAUUAAGAACAACACACGUAGCUAGAUUGGAUAGAAACCCAAUUCCAAACCAAUAUUAACUCUCUGUGGAUUCGAUCUCGACCUUUCGGGUAAACGCUGCAUCGACCACUCCUCGCCAUUAUAUUAUGGUGUAGGGUUGGAGACGAUCACUUUUUGGCAUCAUUGCCGGGGAGUUAAAUAGUUUUUGACUAUCUAUCUAACUAGUUGUAUGCUUUAUUUUUCUUUCUUUCUGUUUUACUAACUUGUAUGAGUUAAUCGAUUCAGGUACAAAACGACAAACAAUGAUCUUAUCGGAAAUGUUAUCCCGGAGGAGGAGAUAGAUGAUAAUGGCGACGAUGAGGUGCCUAUAGUACCUCAAGCUCAAAGAAGAGGUCGGCAGGCCAAUGAAAACAUUCCAGACCCUCCCCCAGCUCCUCCAUGAGUGGCUCCUCGAGUACUUCCAAAUGAAGGGUACGCAAGUGCAAUUGUCCCACCUUGGAUCUGGGCGGGCAAUUUCCACAUUACAAAUGUCAUGCUGGCCUUAUUGGAGCAAAGAGGGUACUUCACAUGUGUUCCCCAUCAGAAUGCAUAUAAACAUCUCAAGGAAUUUUUGGAUACCUGCUGGGUUAGCAAGAAAACAAAUGUGUCGGAGGAUGCAUUGAGAUUGAGAUUAUUCCCUUUCUCACUUAGAGGGAAAGCUUUGAACUGGCUCAAAAGACUCCCCAACCAUUCCAUCACUACGUGGGAUGAGUUGGCCGACAAGUUUAUAGCCAAGUUUUUCUUACUAGGACAUAUGGCUGCAUUAAGGGAUGAUAUCUUAGCAUUUAAACAGGAACCAAAUGAACCCCUUCAUGAAAUCUGGGAUAUAAUAGAACUAUGGUCAAGGAAUGCCCCAACAAUGAUAUGACUGAAGCAAUGAUCCAACAAACAUUUUUAUCGGGGUAUAAACACGACCAAUCAAUGUGUGGUAAAACAGUUAGCAGGGGUAAUUUUAUGAAGCUCUCUUAUGCUGAGGGCUGCGAGAUUCUUNNNNNNNNNNNNNNNNNNNNNNNNNNNNNNNNNNNNNNNNNNNNNNNNNNNNNNNNNNUUCAGGGACCAAAGCAAGUAAACGCAAUGGAAGGAGUUAAUCUAUUGGUGAACAAGAGAAGAACGUCUGGUCAACAAAUGCAAAGCAAUCAAGAUCAGUUUGAUCAAGGUGGUAGUGGUUACAACCAGGAUGAUGGGUAUUGUGAGUAAAGUGAAGAGGUGUUAUAUGCCAACAACUAUCAAGGACAACGAGGUAAUGCUCUAAAUCAACAAUGUAGAUCGCAAGGGAAUAAUCAGAAUUGGGGCAACCAAGGCCAAGAAAAUUGGAACAAUAACAACAACACCUCCAACAAUUGGGGGAACAACAAUCAAAACUGGGGAAACAACAACAAUUAGAGUGGCAACAACAAUUAAGAAGGUUGGAAUAAUGGUAAUCAAGGAAAUCGAGGGUCGGGUUUUCAAAGGCCUCCAAUGUUUCAACAACCAAACAAUCCACCUCCAUUUCCGUCCCAAGGACCUAGCUCAUAAAACAAUGAGAUGGAAAGGAUUGAGUCGAUGUUUGAGCAAAUGAUGAAAAAGAACGUCGACUCUGAUGCCCAAUUGGCAUCCUAUAAUACUUCUAUUCACAAUCUAGAGGUCCAACUUGGCCAGAUUUUGCAAUCUUUGAACACUCGUCCUAAGGGGGCACUACCUAGUGACACGAUAGUAAACCUGAAGGGUGGGAACAAUACCGUCCAUGCAAUGGCGGUGACCACUAGGAGCGGUAGAGGAGGUGAAGCAAGUACCUCCAAGAAAAAGGGAGUUGCGAGUGAUGAGGUUGAAGUACAAAAUGAUGAUGAUCCUAUAGUUGUUGAGAAAAUGAGGGAAGAGAAGUUGGAUGGUGAGGUGAGAAUUGAUAUUCAGGAUAUUGAGGGGGAGACUCAAAAUGACGUGAACCCAUCUAUGGAACACGUGAUAGACAUGUUGAUACCCAAUUUUUUCCUCAUAUAUUUUUAACAUGCAUAUAUUUUCAAAAUAGUGCACAUGCAUUUACAAACAUGCACAAGUAUUCCUAUAAUUUUUCUAUAAUUUUAAAGGCUUUGAACCAAUUUAUUUCUGCAUUUUUACUAUACAAAUAUCCAAUAAUUAUCCCUCGUAUUAUUUUUAUGAUGAUUUAAUCAUCCAAAUUCAUUAUUUAUGUCCAAACAAUGCUUAAAUAUUUUAAUUGUAUUUUUUAUAAUUAUAUUUGCAUUUUUAAGGCUAGAAUUGCAUAUUUUGCAAUAAUAGCCCAUACAUAUGCAUAAUUAUAUUAUCUAUACCGAAAAUGACUGUUUAUAUUUUUAUAAUAUUAACUAUUUUGAAUCAUUUUCAUGCAUAAAUCAAAUUUUUAUCAUCUAUUAAUUAUUUUUAUAAAUUAUUUUAGUAAUUUGAAUGGGUAUUUAAAACAUAGCCCCUUUUCUCAAUUAAUUUUCGGACCUACCUUAGCCCAAUACCCUAACCUAACCCAAACCCAAUAACCCAAUUAUUAUAAUCCGCCCCAACCCUGGACUUAGAUCCUGUCCGUUGAUCUCAGAAGAUCAACGAUCCAGGACGAAUUUUCCUUUUUAAUAACACUAAACACCCCUAACCCUAAUCAUUUCUUCCGCCCCGCCACCCUUGAAUCCCUUCUCCUCUCUUCUCUCUCAAACUCUCUCCUAACCCUAGCCUGCCGUCACCAGAAAGCCUUCAAUCCAUGGGGUUUCCCAUCGAUCUUAAGCCCUAUCCGGCCUCCUACCUCCACUGGUUGUUUGAUUUAUUUGAUAUUUCUCUUUAAAAAACCUUAUAUUUUUCUUGUUAUUAAUCAAUUUUAGUUUUUCCCUUAAAACUAGGGUUUCAUCUCUUUGCGUUUCUGCAAAAAUUCUAAAUUUUGUAAGUGUGGUUCUCUUUACUUAUUCGACUGAUUUUCAUAUCUAUGUUCUAAUCCCUAGGGUUUCUAAUCGUUUAACUAUUUGUUCUGAUAUUUGCCCGUUAUUCUUUGGCCCUGUCAAUUAACAGAGAUUAACUGAUUUUAUUUGCCUAAUUAGGGUUCAAAAUUAUAUUUUUCUGUUGAAAUUGGUAUACUCUAUUAUUUUACUUAUUUUUCCUUAUUUGUGACUCAUAAUUGGUACUACUUGCCUUAAUUAGGUUAUUAGCCUGAUUUCUAGGAUUUGCUUGUUUUAACCGACCCCUAGAUGGUCUAUGAUUUAUGUGUUUACCUUAUUAAACUUCAAUCUUCCCUGUUAAUCGAUCCUCCCUAAUCUAAGUGAUAUGUCCCUGAUUAAAUGAUUUGCAUACCUUAUUUGUGAACGCUUAAUUUCAUUCACCUUAUUUAUUCUACUCUGCUGAAUGCUAUAUAACCCCACCAUUCUGAUUUUUUUUAACACACGAACACAAAGGGAAGAUAUAAAAGACACCUACACACAUAAUCUCUUACUCUUACUCACACACUCACAACUGUAGUUCUUUCUGUUAGUUCUACUUGCUAUUCUGUCUAGCUAGUUGAAAGCCAAGGCUAGACCCUUGGAUUUCAUUCAUCUUCACCUUCAUGGUUUCUAUCUCCUUAACUGGUUUGCCUCAAUUUCUAUUAUCAUUCUAUAUCCUAUGUAGUUAAACAUCAGCAUGCUUCUAUUUGCCCCUAUGUUUUCCUUUUUAUUGCUCUCUUAACCAGCAUGACUUAUUUCCUGUUAACUUGCCCUGCCUUAUAUGUUAGUAUGGUUAGUAUACUUGAGCAUAUCCUAUUUGAUCCAUGACACUUGUUUACCUGUUAGCAUGCUCCAAUUCUUGUCCUGAUUUUAUGUGUUGAUAAUUUACCUUAGCAUGUCCCUAAUCAAUUCAUGGUUUCUGUGUACUUCUUUCAAGAAUAAUGUGCUUUAAAUUCCUGCUACCUUUUUUGAAUGGCUGUCUUAUUAGUCAUUUGACUCAGCAUGUUUCUCUAUGCUAAAUACAUGCCUAUAUGAUUCCACUUAGUAAUAGUUAAUAGGCUAAGUCAACUCUGGCAAUGUGAAACCUUAUUUGACUCAGUUGUGACUCUGCUCUGUCUAUGAUUCCAGUGUUCUUGUUCUGUUGUGAUUGUUUAACUAUUGGUAACUACAUCUAAAUCAAUUUGCUGAAAUAUGGUUCUGUUCUGUUUGCAACUUGUUUCUAUUCACUUCUGAAAAUAAAAUAUUUUUCAUAAAACUAUCCCUUACAUUUGUAUACUAUUUUCAAACUCUUAUUCUUAGCCAACUAGGGUCCUGCCACCCCCAGUGUGACCACUGCUUAGGGUCCAUGAGUCUCUUUUAAACUUUGACACAUUGGGGCUGGUUUUCUAAUCCUUUAUGAAAUUUUGUGUUGAACAUCUGAUUCUGGUGUGAGCAUUGCCCUUGGGAACUUUGACACCAGGAGCCAGUUUUAUGUGCUAUGGAUGAGCUACCAUUAUGCUCAGAGUUGCUAUGUUUGAAGGCCUGGUUACCAGGUUGAUAUUGGGCCUAUGAAGGCUCCAUAUAGUGUAAUGGAUACUAUUAUGUAAUUUAUUCAUCCUGGGCUGUAAUAAUCUCUGUAAUAAAUAGCUUUUGGGUUUAUUAGUAAAAGCUGGGGGGGGGGGGGUCUAUUCUUACAUCUCUAUUGAAAUUGGGUAGAUAUCAUGCCUAUAGAACUUAACUAUGCUGAUUGUACUAUGUGGAUACUGUAUUGUGUUUAGAGAUCCUGCCUAUAGGAUUUUAUGAUCGUUUGACUAUGUGCUGCACAUCUGCGUGUUAGAAACCAUGCUAUAGGACUUUAUGUUUAAUUCUGCACAUUAAAAAUUCUGUUUAUAGGAUCUGCACAUAUUUUCAAUUCAAUGCGCAUUAGUAACCAUGUCUAUAGGAUCUUGUCUGUUUGAAUAACAAUUUUCCUGGCAAUGUUCUUAAAGAAUUCUGCCUACACAUGAGUAAUAGAGAUCCUGCCUAUAGGAACUAAAAAUUAUCUAGAUACCAUGCCUAUAAGAAAUAAAAUAAUCAAUUCUGCAUAUAGUUAUCAUGUCUAUAGGAAAUAUCAGUUUUGCGCUUAGAUAUCAUGCCUAUAGGAAAUAAGCAUAUAAAAUUAGUCUUGACACUUAGACAUCAUGCCUAUAGGAAGUAAGUAUAAAAAAUUAGUUUAUGUGUUUAGAUAUCGUGUCUAUAAGAAAUAGUGCUUAUAAUUAGUUUCGACACUUAGAAAGCAUGCCUAUAGGAUCUAAAAGAUGAAAUCUUCAUGUUAAAAUCAAUAACUGGUUUACAGCUUAGAUACCAUAUCUAUAGGGUUCUACUCGACUAUCACUUAGGCAAGCCUAUAAGUUCAUUAAAAUUCUGGGUCUAAAAAAACUGUGAUUGCUUGUUUGACACAUGCCUGGAUUCAGAGUAUUACCCAAAUCAGUAGGCAAAACUGAUAGGUACUCGUCUGCUCAUUUUAAAACUGCUGUAUAUUCUAUUUUCUGUUCAUUUAGAUAUCUUGCCUAUAGGAUCCUAAAAUCAUUUAAAAUUGCUUGUUUGAACAACGUGCAUUUGUUUGUCUAUUUGUGGAGGUUAAUAUAAGCCCACUUAACUGCUCCUUAUGUGACAAUCCUACUUGAAUUUUGUUUGUCGCUUAGUUUUCUCCUUUUUAAACAAUAUAGGUGAGUCUAGAACCGCCUUAAAUAGAGGUUCUAAAUACCUCCAGGGCCAGAAGUAAGGGACAGGUAGUGCACGCAUACGGUACGCACUGGAUGUUAUUAGAAUGCUUAGGUAAUAAUUGAAAAAGGGAGGGUAAUUGGGUAGUAAAGGAUAUGAUGACUUGUGCGCUAAUGCUAUGUGUAGCACCCUAACUUAGGGACGAUUACCAAGUAUUGCACAGAAAUGAUCCUAUAGGCUAAAAACCUAGGACCUCUUUCACUCCUUGUUUUAAAAGUGACAUCUGUUUGUUAAAUUGCUUUAUUUCCUUUUAAGACUAAUUCGCUUAAAUUGAGUUUAGCUGGGACCCACUGUUGUGGACCUCGAGGGGUGCCUAACACCUUCCUCUCAAGGUAAUUUCGAGCCCUUACCCAAUCUCUGAUGAUGUAAACUAGUACAUGAGUUAUUUGCUUUAGGUGCCCUAACGCACUUUAAUCCGUUAGGUGGCGACUCUUCAAAUCUCUUACCCAAUUCAUAAAAGGAAAGGAGUUGUCCCAAAAUGUCAAAAACCGGACUCCGUGAGGAAAAAGGGGGCGCGACAGCAUGGCGACUUUGCCGGGGAUAAUUAGGCUCUUACCAUGACAAACUUGCUUUUUGUCAAUUAGUCUUAAGCAUGAUUUAUUUUGUUAAUACGUGUGCACCCUUUUCCUUUCCCCCUUUAUCUGGAUUUAAUGGCUUAUUUUCAAGCAUUUAUGAUUUCCUUUACUACAGAAACUGACUUGUCUCCUUGUUUUCUUUUUUAAACAUCUUUCCAUUAUUAAAUACAACAUUUAUCAUUUUUUAACGUGCAAAUACAUGACAAAAUGCUAUUUAUUGUUUUAUAAAUCAUGCUCAACAUCAUAUUCUACUCGUGCGCAAUCAAUACUAUAGAAACGAUCGAUAAGUGUUUGCGCCCUUCCUAUUUAUCACCCUUUAAAUUCGAAAAGGUGUAUUUGCAGUAAAACUAGUCGAUCAACGGUGCAGUUGACGGUUCCGUGCCUUUCCCCCUCAAGUUGUCCACUUGAGGGUACUAGUCUAUACCUCUAUAGAAACCUUACUCUAAUUAAUUGUACAUGCAUCAUGGUCAAACCUAGCCGAAUUAAUAUGUUGUCCACAUAAUAACCCUUUAAGACAAGCCUUGUCCAAAAGUCCACUGGGUUUUCCAUAAUCUCAAUAGACGCAACCACGAUUUUGUGCAUUAAUUUUGGAGAAAAUAAGUGCCAAUAUGCUAAUCAUUGUUUUAUAAAUAGUCGGAUCUGGAGGGGAAAGGGCCUAACCAUAUUUGUUUUGCAGAAAAUGNNNNNNNNNNNNNNNNNNNNNNNNNGAACAAGUGAUGAAAUCAUAUGAAAGGGUCUUGGGAAAUUUGCCUUCUUUGUUGGACCUCCAGUUAAACAACAUGUUAAUCGAAGCUACCAUAAUGUUCUGGGACAAAGAAAGAGCCAUGUUUCGCUUUGGAAACAUAGAAAUGACCCCUCUCUUGGAAGAAAUAGGGGGAUUUUCUAGGCUACCUUGGGAUAGUCCUGGUUUAUUGGUGCCGAAAAAUCACACUACUAGGGGGUUUCUGAAGAUGACAGGUCUGAAAAAGAAUGAGAAUUUGGAGUGCCUAAAGAAAUCUUAUAUACCUUUCCGACUUCCUCUAUGAAUAAUACGGUCACAACAAAUCUUAUCGUAUUUUUGAUAAUGAAUUCUACAUCACUUCCUUGGGUUUGAUUCACUGCAGGGUUUUUUGUGUUCAUCAUCUGCUUCUUGGGUAUGAUAGUGUUCCCGAUCCAAGGGGAUAAAAUCCACACCAGACUGGCCAUGGUAACCAAAACCUUGAUGGAUAGGAUCGAGAGGCAGACAUAUACCAUUGUCUCUAUGAUUAUAGAAGACAUAUACCGGGCCUUAGAACACUGUUAGAAGGGGUACAAAUACUUUGAAGGUUGUAAUUUGCUACUACGGGUUUGGUUGUUAGAGCAUCUCCAAAAAGGUCAAUACCGUCAAAAGCUUCCGUGAAGGCCGUGGAAUGAUCACAUAGAUUUCCAUCAUCCUAAGAGAAUGACUUAUAUCCCAGACAGGUUUGCUCAACCCGAAAAUGUUGUAGGAUGGGCGCAGUUUUUUCAGCAAUUUGACCGAGGAUCAGGUUCAAUGGACGUAUGGUUCCCUACCGACGAGUUCAUCAUCAGAUCUAGGGAUGUUCCACACUUGAUACUGAUAGGGUUAAGGGGUAUAUACCCUUAUGCUCCCAUCAUGGUUAUGAGAUAGGUAGGCAGGAAGUAGGUCAUACAGUGAGUUGCUAAAAUGAGUCACUAUAGGCCAGUUUUUCAGGAUAACGACAUCCCAUACAAAUGUGAAGCUCAGCAUAUGUGGAAUUUGAAAAUUAUCGUGGAAAGGGAUACCAUCGAGCUAGAUCGAUAUCAUUCCGGUCAUGUAUACUUUUACCCAUCAUGAUUAGAAGAUAACAUAGCAGGAAUAUUCGAGCCAAGGGUUGGUCCAGGAAAUCGAGUAAUAGAUGAAGUUGCCGAAGCACAAGCAAAAUAUAACAAACUGCGCAAAAGAGUUCACGAGUCCAAGGCCGAUCACCUGGAGCGGCACAAUACCGAUAUCGAACUAAUUAAUGAAUGGAGGGAGAUGAAUGUUAAAUCAAGUGAAAGGUUAGAAUAUCUGGAGUACAGUCUGAUGGAAUUGGAGGGAAAAUGGGGAAGAGAGUCACCGAUUGCCAAAACACCGAAGGAAGUGAAGGAGGACAUUUAGCAAGGGCAUACCUACUGUUGAACCUGCACGAACUGGGAAUUUGAUCGAGGAAGCCAAAAACAUCCAGCCUGGAGAAGGUCCUUCGGGGACCAAGUAGAUUAGGUUUAUUUACUUUUUCAAAUUUAAUAAGGUUAAGUGCCAUAAGUGACUUAUCUUAUUUAUUGUCAUUUUAGAUUCAUCUAUUUUUAUAUUAAUGAAAUGAGGCAAUUAUUGGCACUGAAAUUCUCCAAAUCAACGUGUCACUAAGCCUACCUCGGUCACAACGAGGCUCCCAAAUUAGGACGCAGAUUUACAUUCCUGCAAUACGUGUUUAAAUACUACAAACAUUUUCAGAAUCCUUACUAACUUGUUUACCUUUUUGUUUUCUUUAUUUUUAUUAUUCCCAUCCCCUAAGGUUGGUUUGCACAUACUAGCAUCAUCAACAUAUCGCACCAGAUCUAGAGGCACUCCACCUCCUCCUCCUCCAAUUAAUCCGAAAAGCAGAGGAAAAGCUAAGAUGGAUGAUUUGAGUGGUAUCUGAAAAGAAAAUGCUGAGAAUAUUGAAACUUCAUACGGUCGGAGUACUCCGGCCCAAAAUGAUUUGGUCCUACAAUUGGAGCAGAAAAUACUGGAGUUAAUUGCAAGGAGAACUUGAACAGGUCUGUAACUUGGCAAACCUCUCCCUCACUCUGAACGUCCCAGACGUUAACCAACAAAAUGCUCAAAACCCAACACCUCCUCAAAAUACGCCAAACCAACGUCCAUAAAAUCCUCCCUCACCCCAUCAAUAUGCCACACCCCGUCAAAAUCCCAAUCUUCCACCUGUACCAACUCCUUCACAACACCAUCAUCAACCAACCCAGUAUCCACAAACCACUACCUAUCACACUCCUCAGUACACAUCACAACCUAUUCCCGAUCCUCAAAACUCAACCAACGACCACCACUACACCCAAACCCCUAGCAGCCACCAAAAUAACCCUAUAUACGUGGAGACACUACCUCACUGCACUUAGCCAAUCUCCUAUACACCAAAAUUUGCUGAGAAGGACCUGCUCAUCAAGAACAUGGCCGAGGAGCUCAAGAAGAUGACAAGCCGAGUUCAGGGUGUUGAAGGAGGUAAGGUGAUAGAAGGUCUAAACUAUGAGGAUUUAUGCAUACAACCAGAUGUGGAACUGCCAGAGGGUUACAAACCUCCCAAGGUCGAAAUGUUUAACGGAACGGGUGAUCCGAAGGUUCAUUUGAGAACUUAUUAUGACAAGCUCGUGGGGGUCGGAAAAGAUGAAAGGAUUCGAAUGAAGCUCUUCAUGAGAAGUCUUACUGGAGAUGCUCUGUCUUGGUACAUAAGCUAGAAUCCUAAGAAGUGGGCCAAUUGGGUGAGCAUGGCAUCAUAUUUUUUGGACUGGUUCAGGUUUAAUACGGAGAAUUUUCCAGAUGUCUUUUAUAUCCAGAAUCUAAAAAAGAAUCCAACUAAGACUUUCCACGAGUGUGCUACUCGGUAGAGGUUGGAAGCAGCCAAGGUCAGAUCAGCAUUAGAUAAGGAACAGAUAAACAAGUUCUUUGUCCGGGCACAUGACCCAUAGUAUUAUGAAAGGCUAAUGGUCAUUGAGAAUCAUAAAAGGACAUACCAUUGACAAGUGCCGAGCAUUGAAAGAUAAGAUCCAGACAUUGAUUGAUAAUAAGGUCAUACAAGCGAAGGAAACUGCACCCAACGUCCACUUUGAAGCACAUAGGAGUGCUCUAAUAAAGGUGUUGAAUGAAGCUUACAUGCCUAACAAUAUCACCAGUGGAGAGAUGGCCAACAUGGUAGGGCAAGUACUGGAGAGUCAUAAGAUCACCUUCCACGAGGAUGAACUACCGCCUGAAGGGUUAAGUCUCAACAGGGCACUGCAUAUCACGGUACAGUUUGAAGACAAAUUCAUUGUCAGGGUCCUAAUAAAUGGGGGUUGAAGCCUCAACAUUUGUCCAUUGACUACUUUGUAAAGGUUGGGCAAAUAUUUCCAUGAGAUACGGGCAGGAAGUAUGAACGUGAAAGCAUUUGAUGGAUCUUAAAGGGCUACGAUUGGGGAGAUUAACCUUUGUCUGCAGAUGGGACCAAGUUGGUUCAAUGUUGAGUUCCAAGUAAUAGACAUAUCAGCUACAUACAAUCUUCUAUUAGGUCGACCUUGGAUACAUGCCGUUGGGGCUAUGGCUUCUACACUGCACCAGGCCGUGAAGUUCAAAUGGAACCAUCAGAAGAUAAUCAUUCACGGAGAUGGAAGUAACCCCAUUUACACCAUUGAAGUUAUCCCGGUUAUCGAGAAUAGAAGAAGGCUGGGUGGAGAAAUUUACCACCACAUUGAACAUGUUACCGCAAUUGAGAAGGACAAGUGGUGGAGUAACAAAAUAGAAAGCAUACUGGCAUGGUCUGGGUAUGAACCCGACAAAGGGCUUGAGAAGAAACUCCAGGGCAUUACCAAACUGAUACAAUUGAAAUGUCACGGCACAACUUUCGGGCUGGGAUAUCCAUACACCUGGCAAGAAUAUAAUGAUUGGUCGCCACCAUGGCGUGGUUCUUAUUAUCCUCUCGAGCAGCUAGUGCCACAUCUAAGUCAGAAUUUUCACCAGGCCGAUACAAUAUGGGGAUCUGCAGAUGAAGAAGCUUUGGCUGGGUUGAGAAAUAUGUUCCUAGAAGACGAGACUAUGGAUUGCAAUAUGAUAGUUGGGGAGGAGGAGGAAGAAGGCCUUACCAUUCAGACUGUGGAGAAGGGAGUUGUUCUCAGGAAUUAGACUGUCACACCAUCCCAGUCCCGCUGAAUUCCUAGGUAGCUUGGCAAUUAGCCUGACUUGUUUUAAUAGCCAUGCUAGGCAUUUAAGAUACUUUCAGUAUUUUGUUUUAAAGACGCAUUUUGUUUUGAAAUAAUUGCUCGAGCCAUCGAGCCGUACUUGUUUUGGAUAUUUUCAAAAUUAAUUAAUGCAUUGCUAUUUACUAUUCAUUAUUAUCUUUCACAUUUUUCUUCUACAGCGUUAUUAUUACUUUUCCUGAUGAACCGAUGACUGUGACAUGUAAUGAGACAACGCAAUAUAAGGAUAGUGACUCAGAAGAAGAGGAUGAAAUACUUGAGGAAGUUGUCAGAGAAGUUGAGAAUUUUGAGAACAAACCUAAGUCCAACCUGGACGAAACUGAAGCAAUCAAUUUGGGGGAUUCUGAAACCGUCAAAGAGACUCGCAUAAGCAUUCACUUAUCACCGUCAGAGAAGGAAGAAUACACUCAUUUUAUGAAAGAAUAUGAAGAUAUUUUUGUAUGGUCAUAUGAUGACAUGACCGGUCUGAGCACAUCCAUAGUGGCUCAUAAGUUGCCUACCAAUCCAAUAUAUCCGCCAGUGAAGCAGAAACUCAAAAAGUUCAAGCCAGAUAUGAGCCUAAAAAUCAAGGAAGUAGUCACCAAACAAAUCAAAGCCAAGGUCCUCAGGGUAGUUGAGUACCCAACCUGGUUAGCCAACAUUGACUUGAGAAAGUUCUUUGAUAGGCUAAAGAGGUACAAUCUAAAAUUGAACCCCGCAAAAGGUGCAUUUGGGGUUCCUGCAAGAAAGCUGUUGGGAUUCAUUGUCAGCCGCCAAGGAAUCGAGUUGGUCCCGUCCAAAGUUAAGGCUAUCCAAGAGUUACCACCACCAAAGAGCAAAAAGGACGUGAUGAGCUUCCUGGGACGCCUCAACUAUAUCAAUCGCUUCAUAGCACAGUCCAUGGUAAUAUGUGAACUCAUCUUCAAAUGUUGAGGAAAGAUGCUGAAACCAGUUGGACUGAGGAUUGUGAGAAGGCUUUUGACAAAAUCAAGGAAUACCUAUCUACAUCGCCAGUCCUAGUCUCGCCAGAACCUGGGACACCUUUGCUACUCUAUUUAUCCGUAUUAGAUGGAGCUUUCAGAUGUGUUUUGUGAUAAUAUGACGAGACAGGAAAAGAGGAGCAAGCCAUAUACUACUUGAGUAAGAAGUUCACUCCUUAUGAAGCACAAUACUCUCUGCUGGAACGCACUUGCUGUGCUUUGACCUGGACAACUCAAACAUUAAGGCAUUACUUCUGUGCCUAUACCACAUACCUCAUAUCCAGGAUGGACCCUCUGAAGUACAUCUUUCAGAAGCACAUGCCAACCGGGAAGUUAGCCAAGUGGAAGAUAUUGUUAAGUGGGCUCGAUAUCAUCUAUGUAACUUAGAAGGCGGUCAAAGGACAAGCAUUGGCAGACCAUCUUGCUGAAAAUCCUGUGGGAGGAGAAUACGAACCACUAAAAACGUAUUUUCCUGAUGAAGAAGUGUCAUUCAUAGGAGAGGACAUUGUUGAAGCCUACGACGGUUGGAGAAUGUUCUUCGAUGAGGCUGCAAACUUCAAAGGAGGGGACAUUGGAGCAGUUUUGGUAUCGGAAAUAGGUCAACAUUACCCGAUAUCCACAAAGCUUAGGUUUAUGUGCACCAACAAUGUGGCAGAAUAUGAGGCUUGCAUUAUGGGGCUCAAUCUGUCCAUCGAUAUGAAUAUACAAGAGUUACUGGCAAUUGGUGAUUCGAAUCUUCUGGUACAUCAGGUUCAAGGAGAAUGGGCUAUAAAAUACACCAAGAUACUACCAUACUUGUAUCAUGUGCAAGAAUUAAUGAAGAGGUUCACAAAUAUAGAAUUCAAACAUGUUCCAAGAGUCCAGAACGAGUUCGCAGACGCACGGGUCACCUUGUCAUCAAUGAUACAACAUCCAAAUAAGAAUUUCAUCGAUCCCAUCCCGGUGAAAAUCCAUAACCAACCGGCUUACUGUGCUCAUAUUGAAGAAGAAACGGAUGGAAAACCUUGGUUCCACGACAUCAAAGAAUAUUUGGCGAAAGGAGCAUAUCCAGAACAUGCAAACCACACUAAAAACACACAUUACGGAGGUUGUCCAAUCACUUAUUCCAAAACGGAGGGACCAUAUAUAGAAUAACUCCUGAUCUAGGAUUGUUAAGGUGUGUUGACGCAAAGGAGGCUUCUAGAUUGCUAGAGGAGAUACAUGCGGAACUUGCGGACCACCUAUGAACGGUUUUGUUCUAGCCAAAAAGAUAUUCAGAGCCAGAUAUUUUUGGAUGACCAUCAAAAUAGAUUGCAUCAGGUACGUCCAGAAAUGACACCAAUGCCAGGUACAUGCAGACAUGAUAAAGGUACCACCAAACGAGCUCAAUGCAACAAGUGCACCUUGUCCUUUUGCUGCCUGGGGAAUGGAUGUCAUCGGUCUGAUCGAGCCCACCGCUUCCAACGGACAUCGGUUCAUUUUAGUGGCUAUCGACUAUUUCACAAAAUGGGUAAAGGCUGCAUCUUACAAAGCUGUAACCAAAAAAGUCGUCGCAGAUUUUGUAAAGGAUCGUAUUAUUUGCCGAUUCGGGGUUCCCGAGUUCAUUAUCACUGAUAAUUCUGCCAAUCACAACAGUUAUCUGAUGAAAGUUAUGUGUGAAACCUUCAAAAUCAUGCACAAAAUCUCUACAGCAUACUGCCUCAAAUGAAUGGAGCCAUGGAAGCUGCCAAUAUAAACAUCAAGAAGAUACUGAGGAAGAUGGUAGAAAAUCACAAAUAAUGGCACGAGAAGUUACCCUUUGCCCUAUUGGGGUACCGCACUACGGUCCGUACAUCAACUAGGGCAACUCCCUAUUUACUGGUUUAUGGUACCGAAGCUAUCAUUCCAGCCGAGGUAGAAAUCCCUUCUUUAAGGAUCAUACAAGAAGCCGAAAUUAGUGAUGCAAAAUGGAUAAGGAGUCAUUAUGAGAAACUAUCCCUCCUAGGCAGAAAACAAAUGAAUGCGGUAUGUCACGGUCAGCUUUAUCAGAAUAGGAUGUCCAGAUCUUUCAAAAAAAGGGUAAGACCAAGACAAUUCACACCGGGGCAGCUGGUGCUGAAGCGAAUCUUCCCAUAUCAGGAUGAAGCCAAAGGGAAAUUUUCACCCAACUGACAAGGUCCCUACAUGGUUCACUGGGUGCUAACAAGAGGAGCACUCAUACUCGUCGAAAUGGACGGAGAAGUCUGGCCAAAACCUAUCAAUUCAGAUGCAGUCAAAAGAUACUAUGUGUAAACCAUUUCAUGUUUCUUCAUAUGAUUUAAACUGAACUACGCUUGACAUGAUUCCCGUUUAAGAGGGGAUACGUAGGCAGCCCUGUGGGUUCGGUCUUAUCAUAAAAUCUUCAUUUUCCUCAGAACCAGAAACUGGGGCAGAAUUUUGAGGAGGACCCUUAAAAUUCCGGAGCAAGUCCGGCCGACGCCAUCAUAUGCUAGAAAGUCAGAAAUUCGUUAAGUAACUGGGGCAGAAUUUUGAGAAGGAUUCUCAAAUUUCUGGAGCAGAUCCAACAAAUUUCAUUGCACGCAGAACGGCCGAAGGAUCAAACUGGGGAAGAAUUUUGAGAAGGACCCUCAAAAUUCUGGUGUAAGGAAGCCGCAAUAUCUCUAAAAGUGUUACAGUUAUUAGUUCAUCUAAUUUACUUGAUAUUAUAUACCACUAUGUUUUCUAAAAUAACUCUAUUUCAUCAAUAAGUGCAUAUUUUUGAAAACUUUAUUUCUAUGGAAGCCAAGUGUUACCUAGGACGACUCGAACAAGGCCUCCAGAGCAAACAAAGCAAAGCAAGCAGACAAAGGCACGAACCAACCUUCCCUUACAAAACUCGUGAUUUUUCUUUGGAUGCAGGCACAGUGAACAUAACAGGAGUAUUCGCAAAAAUACACAUAUCAAGAUCACUAUCAAUCAGGGCACCAGACGCAAAUAUAUCUCCAGCUAAGAAAUAUUCUACUCCUAUUUGCUACUUGAUCACUGCAUAAGGCUAAGCAUUGCCUUCUUCUUACAUGAGACUAAGCUCUAUCUCGAUCCUUGCAUGAGGCUAAGCCCUGCCUCCAUAUUUUCAUAAGGCUAAGCAUUGCCUUCUCUUUGCAUGAGACUAAGCUCUGUCUCGAUCAUUGCAUGAGGCUAAGCCCUGCCUCCAUAUUUGCAUAAGGUUAAGCAUUGCCUUAUCUUUGUAUGAGACUAAGCCCUGUCUCAAUUCCUGCAUGAGGCUAAGCCCUACCUCCCUAUUUGCAUAAGGCUAUGCAUUACAUUCUCUUUGCAUGAGACUAAGCCCUGUCUCAAUUCUUGCAUGAGGCUAAGCCCUGCCUCCAUAUUUGCAUAAGGCUAAGCAUUGCCUUCUCUUUGUAUGAAACUAAGCUCUGUCUCAAUUCUUCCAUGAGGCUAAGCCCUGCCUCUCUAUUUGCAUAAGGUUAAGCAUUGCCUUCUCUUUACAUGAGACUAAGACCUGUCUCAAUUCUUGCAUGAGUCUAAGCCCUGCCUCCAUAUUUGCAUAAGGCUAAGCAUUGCCUUCUCUUUGCACGAGACUAAGCAUUGUACCCCUUUCUUGCAUGAGGUUGAGCCCUGCCUCCAUAUUUGCAUAAGGCUAAGCACUGCCUUCUCGUGAGACUAAGCUUUGUCUCCCUUUGCAUAAGUGUUGCUCUAUUCUAAACUUUGCCUUAUCUUCUUCUCUCGGGGCUAAGCUUUGCCCCCCAAAACUCUGUAAAAGACUAAGCUUUGUCUUAUUAUCACCUUUGGUAUCAUGUCUCUGCACUUCAUGGGCUGAUGCAUAACCAACUUGUCCAAAGGCAUCAUAGUCCGAAGGCAUCAUCCUCAUAGCCUGAAGACACCAUGUCAUGGCCUGAGGAUCUCUCAAUACUGCACAUCAUUAUUCAAAGGCGUCAUGUUUCAGAGGCACCAUUCUCAUGACCCGAGCGCAUCAUUUCAUGGCCCGUGAAUCCCUUAUCUUAUGAUCAUGGCCCAGGAUAUCAUGGUCUAAGGACGUCAUCUUCACUGUCCAAAAACAACCUCCAUGGUCCAAAGGGAAUUUGCAUCAUGUUUAAAUUCUCGAAGUAAUCUAUAUACUUGCAUGCAUCGUGUUUUAAGUUUUGCAGGUAACCCAAGAAGUAACAGUUCUUCAAACAGGAGCAACCUUCGCUCCGGUUUCCGAUCGUACCACUCAUACUCUGCCAUUUAACUGAUUCCCAUCAAUUACCCGCCUUUACUCUGUAACCAUUCAGAUAUCUGCCCUAUAAUACAUCCGUUACGCUUUAGACUCAUAUUCAUAACUCUGCAUAAACCCACUUGAUACCACCCUUCACAAAAGAACCUUUUCUGAAACAUACUACCAUUCCCAUAACAAUUCCACUGGUUUCAUCCACCGGUGGGUCCAUAACUACACAUGGCCUGAUUCCUGUAAAACCAGGGAUAUGUAGGCAGCUGAGAAAUUAGGGUGCAGCCUACAUUUUUCAAAACACCCCCCCAUUCGGUCAAAAUCGUUCAUCAUUUCUUUACCUGACAACUCUUUCAUCCUUCCCGGGUAAAGAGGGACAACUGUUGAUACCCAAUUUUUUUCUCAUAUAUUUUUAACAUGCAUACAUUUUCAAAAUAGUGCACAUGCAUUCACAAACAUGCACAACUAUUCCUAUAAUUUUUCUAUAAUUUUAAAGGCUUUCAAACAAUUUAUUUCUGCAUUUUUACUAUACAAAUAUCCAAUAAUUAUCCCUCGUAUUAUUUUAAUGAUGAUUUAAUCAUCCAAUUUCAUCAUUUAUGUACAAAUAGUGCUUAAAUAUUUUAAUUUUAUUUUUUAUAAUUACAUUUACAUUUUAAGGCUAGAAUUGCACAUUUUGCAAUAAUAGCUCAAACAUAUGCAUAAUUAUAUUAUCUAUAUCGAAAAUAACUUUUUAUAUUUUUAUAAUGUUAAGUAACUAUUUUAAAUCAUUUUAAUAUACAAAUCACAUUUUUAUCAUCUAUUAAUUAUUUUUAUAAAUUAUUUUAGUAAUUUAAAUGGGUAUUUAAAACAUAGCCCCUUUUCUCAAUUAAUUUUUGGACCUACCUUAGCCCAAUACCCUAACCUAACCCAAACCCAAUAACCCAAUUAUUAUAACCAGCCCUAAUCCCGGGCUUAAUCCUGGCCGUUGAUCUCAGAAGAUCAAUGGUCUAAGACAAACUUUCCUUAUUAAUAACACCAAACACCUCUAACCCUAAUCAUUUCUUCCGCCCUGCCGCCCUUGAAUCCCUUCUCCUCUCUUCUCUAUCAAACUCUCCCCUAACCCUAGCCCACCGUCACCGAAAACCCUUACAUCCAUGGGGUUUCCCAUCGAUCUUAGGCCCCAUCCGGCCUCCUACCUCUACUGGUUGUUCGAUUUCUUUGUUGUUUGAUGGAAUCUCGAAGAGAUUCAACACAAACUUGGCUUCAACUCGUCAUUUUCUUGAUGAACCUUCCUAUGUUCAUCUCUAUGUUUGUGAGUGCUGUUAUCUUCAUGUUUAUGGCUUAAACCUCCGGUUCCAAACCGGAUUUUUCUCACCUCUGUCAUUUUAAAAAAAAAACUAGUCGCUUUCUACUCGAGUCUAUUCAGAUCUCUGUAGAUCUGAGAUGAUUUUGAGUUUAUCUGAUAUUUCUCUUUAAAAAACCUUCUGUUUUUCUUUUUAUUAACCGACUUUAGCUUUUCCCCAAAACUAGGAUUUCAUCUCUUUACGUUUCUGCAAAAAAUCUAAAAAUUUUAAGUGUGGUUCUCUUUACUUGUUCGACUGAUUUUCAUAUCUAUGUUCUAAUCCUUAGGGUUUCUAAUCGUUUCGCUAUUUGUUCAGAUAUUUGCCUGUUAUUCAUUGGCCCUGUCAAUUAACAGAGAUUAACUAUUUUAUUUGCCUAAUUAGGGUUCAAAAUUAUAUUUUCCUGUUGAAAUUGGUAUUUCUCUGUGAUUUUACUUAUUUUUCCUUAUUUAUGACUCAUAAUUGGUACUACUUGCCUUAAUUAGGCUAUUAGCCUGAUUUCUGGGAUUUGAUUAUUUUAACCGGCUCCUAGAUGGUCUUUGAUUUAUUUGUUUACCUUAUUAAACUUCAAUCUUGCUUGUUAAUUGAUCCUCCCUAAUCUAAGUGAUAUGUCCCGAAUUUUAUCGUGUUAAUUGAUUGGGUUUUAACCUUAAUUAACUGAUUGAAUGAUUUGCAUACCUUACUUGUGAACUCUUAAUUUCAUUUGCCUUAUUAGUUCUACUCUGUUGAAUGCUAUAUAACCCCACCAUUCUGAUUUUUUUUGACACACGAACAAAAACGGGAAGAUACAAAAGACACUUACACACAUAAACUCUUACUCACACACUCACAACUGUAGUUCUUUCUGUUAGUUCUACUUGCUAUUCUGUCUAGCCGGCUGAAAGCCAAGGCUAGACCCUUGGAUUUCAUUCAUCUUCACCUUCCUGUUUGCUAUCUCCUUAGCUGGUAUGCCUCCAUUUCUAUUAUCAUUCUAUAUCUUAUGUAGUUAAACUUCAGCAUGCUUCUGUUUGCCCCUAUGUUUUCCUUUUUAUUGCUCUUUUAACCAGCAUGACUUAUUUCUUGUUAACUUGCCCUGUCUUAUAUGUCAGUAUGGUUAUUAUACUUGAGCGUAUCCUGUUUGAUCCAUGACACUUGUUUACCUGUUAGCAUGCUCCAAUUCUUGUCCUGGUUUUAUGUGCUGAUAAUUUACCUUAGCAUGUCCCUAAUCAAUUCAUGGUUUCUGUGUACUUCUUUCAAGAAUAAUGUGCUUUAAAUUCCUGCUACCUUUUUUGAAUGGCUGUCUUAUUAGUCAUAUGACUCACCAUGUUUCUCUAUGCUAAAUACAUGCCUAUAUGAUUCCACUUAGUAAUAGUUAAUAGGCUAAGUCAGCUCUGGUAAUGUGAAACCUUGUUUGACUCAGUUGUGACUCUGCUCUGUCUAUGAUUCCAGGAACUGUUCUGUUGUGAUUGUUUAACUACUGGUAACUACAUCUAAAUCAAUUUGCUGAAAUAUGGUUUUGUUCUGUUUGCAACUUGUUUCUAUUCACUUCUGAAAAUAAACUAUUUUUCAUAAAACUAUCCCCUACAUUUGUAUACUAUUUUCAAACUCUUAUUCUUAGCCAACAAGGGUCCUGCCACCCCCAGUGUGAGCACUGCUUAGGGUCCAUGAGUCUCUUCUGAACUUUGACACAUUGGGGCUGGUUUUCUAAUCCUUUAUGAAAUUUUAUGUUGAACAUCUGAUUCUGGUGUGAGCAUUGCCCGGGGUCCCUGAGGCCCUUGGGAACUUUGACACACCAGGAGCCAGUUUUAUGUAUAGAUGGGCUACCAUUAUGCUCAGAGUUGCUAUGUUUGAAGGCCUGAUUACCAGGUUGAUAUUGGGCCUUUGAAGGCUCCCUAUAGUGUAAUGGAUACUAUUAUGUAAUUUAUUCAUCCUGGGCUGUAAUAAUCUCUGUAAUAAAUAGCUUUUGGGUUUAUUAGUAAAAGCUGGGGGGAGGGGUCUAUUCUUACAUCUCUAUUGAAAUUGGGUAGAGAUCAUGCCCAUAGGAUUUUAUGAUCGUUUGACUCUGUGCUACACAUCUGCGUGUUAGAAUCCCUGCUAUAGGACUUUUUGUUUAAUUCUGCACAUUAAAAAUUCUGUUUAUAGGAUCUGCACAUAUUUUCAAUUCAAUGCGCAUUAGUAACCAUGUCUAUAGGAUCUUGUCUGUUUGAAUAACAAUUUUCCUGGCAAUGUGCUUAAAGAAUUUUGCCUACACAUGAGUAAUAGAGAUCCUGCCUAUAGGAACUAAAAUUCAUCUAGAUAUCAUGCCUAUAGGAAAUAAAAUAAUUAAUUCUGCAUAUAGUUAUCGUGUCUAUAGGAAAUAUCAGUUUUGCGCUUAGAUAUCAUGCAUAUAGGAAAUAAGCAUAUAAAAUCAAUCUUGACACUUAGACAUCAUGCCUAUAGGAAGUAAGUAUAAAAAAUCAGUUUCUGUGUUUAGAUAUCGUGUCUAUAAGAAAUAGUGCUUAUAAUUAGUUUCAGCACUUGGAAAGCUUUCCUAUAGGAUCUAAAAGAUGAAAUCUGCCUGUUAAAAUCAAUAACUGGUUUACAGCUUAGAUACCAUGUCUAUAGGGUUCUACUCGACUAUCACUUAGGCAAGCCUAUAGGUUCAUUAAAAUUCUGGGUCUAAAAAACUGUGAUUGCUAGUUUGACACAUGCCCGCAUUCAGAGUAUUAACCAAAUCAGUAGGCAAACUGAUAGGUACUCGCCUGCUCGUUUUAAAACUAUUGUAUAUUCUGUUUUGUAUUCAUUUAGAUAUCCUGCCUAUAGGAUCCUAAAAUCAUUUAAAAUUGCUUGUUUGAACAACGUGUUGAUUUGUUUGUCUAUUUGUGGAGGUUAACAUGAGCCCACUUAACUGCUCCUUAUAUUACAGUCCUACUUGACUUUUGUUUGUCGCUUAGUUUUCUCCUUUUAAACAACAUAGGUGAGUCUAGAACCGCCUUAAAUAGAGGUCCUAAACACCUCCAGGGCCAUAGGUAAAGGACGGGUAGUGCACGUAUUAAGGUACGCACUGGAUGUUAUUAAAACGCUUAGGUAAUAAUUGAAAAGGUGAGGGUAAUUGGGUAGUAAAUGAAAUAAUGACAUGUGCGCUAAUGCUAUGUGUAGCACCCCAACUUGGGGAUGAUUACCAAGUAUUGCACAGAAGUGAUCCUAUAGGCUUAAAAACCUUGGACCCCUUUUACUCCUUGUUUUAAAAGUGAUAUUUGUUUGUUAAAUUGCUUUAUUUCCUUAUAAGACUAAUUCGCUUAAAUUGAAUUUGACUGGGACCCAUUAUUGUGGACCUCGAGGGGUGCCUAACACCUUCCCCUCAAGGUAAUUUCAAGCCCUUACCCAAUCUCUGGUGAUGUAAACUAGUACAUGAGUUAUUUGCUCUAGGUGCCCUAACACACCUUAAUCCGUUAGGUGGCGACUCUUCAAAUCUCUUACCCAGUUCCCAAAAGGAAAUGAGUUGUCCCAAAAUAUCGAAACUCGAACUCCGUGAGGAAAACCCGGAAACAGUGAUGCCUAAAGCCAAGACUCAUUUGCCAAGGCCGCCUCCACCUUACCCUCAAAGACUUGCAAAGCAGAAAAGUGAAAACCAGUUCAAGAAUUUUAUUGAGAUGAUGAAAAAUUUUCAAUCAAUGUGCCCUUGGCGGAAGCUCUUGAGCAAACUCCUGGAUACGCCAAGUUUAUGAAAGACUUGGUAACUAAAAAGAGAUCUAUGGAUUGUGAGACCAUCAAAAUAACUCAUCAAGUGAGUGCUAUUGUACACUCGAUAGCUCCAAAGCUUGAAGAUCCCGCCGCAUUUACCAUUCCAUGUACCAUUGGGAGUGCAGAUUUUGCCAAGGCCUUAUGUGAUUUGGAAGCGAGUAUAAAUUUGAUGCCAUACUCUGUCUUCAAAACUUUGGCUAUUGGUCAACCGAGAGCUACUUCAAUGAGAUUUCAAAUGGCCGAUAGAACAUUGAAGAGGCCGCUUGGUAUUAUUGAUGAUGUUCUUGUCCGGGUGGACAAGUUUAUUUUGCCUGCUGAUUUUGUGAUCCUCGACUACAAAGUCGACUAUGAGGUGCCGAUAAUAUUGGGAAGGCCUUUCCUAGCAACAGGGAAGGCAUUGGUUGAUGUGGAAGCAGGGGAACUCACCUUUCGGGUGGGUGACGAAAAAGUUGUCUUCCAUGUGUGCAAAUCAAUGAGGCAACCGAAUAGUACUGAGGUUUGUUCUUUUGUGGAUCUGGUGACGAAGGUGAAAAUUGAUGACACAAGUGCCAUGAUCAAUGUAGAGGAUCCUUUGGAAGCGAUAUUGUUGAACCAUGAUGUGACCGAGGAUGAAGGCUUGGUAGAGUGUGUCAAUGCCUUGCACGGAAUGGGUUCUUACUUCUAUGAACCCCGUAAACUCUCCUUGGAUCUUGAGAAUAGAAAGACUCCACCAACAAAGCCCUCAAUUGAGGAACCUCCUAUAUUGGAGUUGAAGCCUUUACCUCCACACAUCAGGUAUGAAUUCUUGAGCCCUUGUUCAACUUUACCUGUUAUUCUUUCUUCUUGCCUUACUAACAUGCAGGUAGAUGCCACCCUUGAGGAGCUUCAAAGAAGGAAGAGAGCAAUUAGAUGGACUCUAGCUGAUACUCGGGGGAUAAGCCCCGCCUUUUGCAUGCACAAGAUUAUACAUGAGGAGGAUGCCAAACCCUCUGUGGAACAUCAAAGGAGGUUGAACGAGGCAAUGCAAGAGGUCGUCAAGAAGAAAGUUAUAAAGUGGCUAGAUGCAGGGGUUGUGUAUCCCAUCUCGGAUAGUUCUUGGACUUCUCCGGUAUAAUGUGUGCCAAAAAAGGGGGUAUGACUAUGGUCACAAAUGAGCAAAAUGAGUUGAUCCCUACUAGGACUGUCACCGGAUGGCAGUAUGCAUGGACUACCGGAAGCUGAACAAAGUGACCCGCAAAGAUCAUUUUCCAUUGCCUUUUCUUGACCAAAUGUUGUAUAGACUUGCUGGGCGUUCCUACUAUUGUUUUCUGGAUGGGUACUCAAGUUACAAAGUGUCCGUAUGGCACCUUUGCAUUUUCUAGGAUGCCAUUUGGUUUGUGUAAUGCACCGGCUACCUUUCAAUGGUGUAUGAUGGGUAUAUUUACUGACAUGGUGGAGGACUUCUUUGAAGUGUUCAUGGAUGAUUUCAGUGUUGUGGGUGACUCUUUUGAAGAAUGUUUGGGUAAUCUUGACAAAGUGUUGGGCCGAUGUGAGGAGACAACUCUGUUGCUUAAUUGGGAAAAGUGCAACUUUAUGGUCGAGGAGGGCAUUGUCCUCGGCCAUAAGAUCUCAAAGAAUGGUAUCGAAGUGGACAAAGCGAAGAUUGAAGUGAUCUCAAAACUCCCUCCUCCUACUUCCGUCAAAGGAGUGAGGAGCUUUCUUGGGCAUACGGGGUUCUAUCGAAGGUUCAUCAAGGACUUCUCUAAGGUAGUGAAUCCCUUGUGCAAAUUGUUGGAGAAGGAUGCAAAGUUUGUGUUUAAUGAUGAGUGCAUGAAAGCUUUUGAGCUUCUCAAGUAUAGAUUGACGACCACUCCCAUCAUCACCGCACCCAAUUGGAGCUUGCCAUUGGAGCUCAUGUGUUAUGCUAGUGACGUUGUGGUUGGAGCGGUCUUGGGUCAAAGGGUGAACAAGAUGUUUCAUCCGGCCAGGUUAAUUAUACUGUAACAAAGAAAGAGUUGCUAGCAAUUGUGUUUGCAAUGGAGAAGUUUAGGCCUUAUCUCAUGGGUGCCAAGGUGAUUGUUCACACUGAUCACGCAGGACUCCGUUACUUGAUGAUCAAAAAGGAUUCUAAAGCUAGAUUGAUGAGAUGGGUUUUGUUGCUUCAAGAAUUUGACCUAGAGAUUGUUGAUCGGAAAGGUUGUGAAAACCAAGUGGCGAACCACUUGUCCCUCUUGGAGAAGGAGGGGAGAUCCAUAGAUUGUCUCAAAAUUAAUGAUGCAUUUCCAGAUGAACAACUUCUCUCAGUUUCUAUGAAUAGUAUGCCUUGGUUCACCGAUGUGGCCAAUUUUCUUGUGACCGGCAUUGUUCUGAGUGAGCUCUCUUCUAACAAAAGGAAGAAUCUUAAAUGGGAGAACCUUAUCUUUUCAAGAUUUGUAAUGAUGGUAUGAUCCGGAGAUAUGUUCCGGAAGAGGAGCAAAUGAGUAUUCUUGAUGCUUGCCAUUCCUCGCCCUGCGGUGGUCAUCAUGGUGGGGUGAGAACUGCUUCAAAGGUUCUUAGUUAUGGUUUUUAUUGGCUUACUUUGUAUAAAGAUGCUGGUAAGCUUGUCAAGAGAUGUGAUGAAUAUCACAGAGCAGGUGGAAUUUCUAAGAAGGAUGAAAUGCCUCUCACCACUAUUCUUGAGGUUGACAAUUUUGAUGUGUGGGGAAUAGACUUCACGGGGCCUUUUGUGAGUUCUGUGGCAACACUUACAUUCUGGUGACUGUUUAUUAUGUAUCCAAAUGGGUUGAGGUCGUGGCUUUACCCAACAACGAAGCCCGUAGUGUGGUGGCGUUUUUCAAGAAAAAUAUCUUCACACGGUUUGGCACUCCUCAGGCGAUCAUCAGUGAUGGGGGUUCUCAUUUCUGCAAUAAGGCAUUUGACACUUUGCUUGCAAAGUAUGGUGUCAAUCACAAGGUAUCAACCCCUUAUCAUCCUCAGGCUAGUGGACAAGUUGAUGUCUCUAAUAGGGAGAUAAAGAGCAUAUUAUCAAAAACUGUCAAUGCAAAUAGAACUGACUGGUCAAGAAAACUGGAUGAUGCUUUGUAGGCUUACAAGACUUCUUAUAAGACUCCAAUUGGUAUGUCUCCGUACCGGUUGGUAUUUGGGAAGGCGUGCCAUCUUCCAGUUGAGCUAGAACACAAGGCCAUGUGGGCGAUGAAGAGGUUAAAUCUUGAGCGGGAUGUUGUAGCAAAUCUUCGGGUAGAGCAACUCAAUGAGCUUGAUGAGUUCCGGUUUCAUGCCUAUUCCAGCUCGUCCUUGUAUAAGGACAAGAUGAAGUACAUGCAUGACAAAUGUGCACGGAGCAAGGAAUUAAAGGAGGGUGACUUGGUUCUCUUAUUCAACUCUCGGUUACGACUGUUUGCGGAAAAGCUCAAGUCAAAAUGGAGUGGCUCUUUUGAAGUGGUACAUGUGACUCCAUUUGGUGCUCUUGAUUUGAAGAAUAAAAAUGGUGAAGUUUUCAGAGUUAAUGGGCACCGAGUCAAAUACUACGUGGGAAAAUUUGAUGACAACCACGUGGUGGCAAUGAUCCAUCUCAAAUAAUUGAUGGUAACCUGCGUCGUGCGCGACGUUAAAUUAGGUGCUUCUUGGGAGGCAACCCGUGUGUUUUUCAUUUUCUUCUUUUUCAUUUUCUUCUUAGUGUAGGAUUUAUUUUCUUCUCAGCAGAAGCAUUUCGUGGGGGCAAAAUUUGGAAGCUGACGCGGACUAGAAAAUUCCAAAAUAAAACUUCUCUGAAGUUUCAUCCGCGUCCACGUGGCUUUUUCGCGGUUAGCGGACCUAUUCCGCGGCUGCUCCCAUUUUUAAGCUCUCAGUGGUAGUGUUGCACAGACAACUCUUCAGCCUAGGUAAAAGCAUGGACCGCAGUGAAAUUUCGCGGCCGCACCAGGUAAGACUUGUGGGCCCCUGUGCUAUUUAGUAUAAAUAGAAGGUCCUGAGACUAUUUACCCUUUUCGCUCCUUGAAAUCUCACAAGAAUUUUUCUACUGUUCAUCUAUCCUAAACCCGAACCCAUUUGCAUCACUAAUUAGAAGUUAAUUACCAACACCAAUUCAAACUACUGGUAUGUUCAAAUCAUAACAUUUCUUCUAUAAUUUUAUUUUUUCUUUUCUUUUAGUUUAACUUUUUCCUAUUUUCUUUUAGUUUCAAUUAGGGUUAUGUAGUUUGUAAUUAGUUGUUGCAAAAAUCCAUGAAACUACUUGUUGGGCAUGCCUAGGAGGGGUGAGUAAUGUUCAUAAUACCCGUUAAAUUACUAGAAAAUAUGAAACCUUAUGAUUCCCAUUUUUGAAUUCCGCAGCCGCGGAUGCAAUUCCGCGGUCAGCGUUCUUGUGAAAUCCUGUGCUGCAAUUGGUUUAAAUUCCGCUCUCAACGGUGGAAAGUUCGUUGUCAGCGGACCUGUUUACGCGGUCGUGCCUCAUUUUUCGCGAUCAGCAAAAUUAAAGUUCAGAGAAGUGUCAAAUUGCGUCAGCAGCCGCGUUUGUUUUUCCGCGGACAGCGGUUCAACUUCCGUGGACGCGCCCAAAAUUUCACUCUCAGUGGUCGAUCAACAUUAGAGGCUGGGUAGUCUGAUUCCCAGUCCUCCUCGGCCGUGGUCCUUUUUUCGUUAUCAGCGGUACCCAUUCCGCGGUCAUGCUUCUUUUUUCGCUGUCAGCGGAUCUGAGAUUUUAAAACACUGUCAACUUUUCAUCUCUUUUCUUUACUGCUUCUUUUAGCAUCAAUACUAAUGAUCUUUCACUGAUUGUGUAUGCAGACAAUGGUCAAAUCUAUAGGUGGAAGUGAAAAACAAAAAGGGAAGCAGAGUCCUCCCGGGGUAGGGGAUGAGGACAAAUCAAGUUACCCCUAGCAUUACGACAAUCCAUUGGGAAAAUGCAGAAGGAUAUCAAAGAUAUGGAUAGAGCCGCAUCCCAUUCCGAGGGUAGUGACUAUGUCCCUUCCUGGGAAGCCUCAGAAGGUGAUUCUGUACCUACUAAUGUCCCGGAGUUCUCAGGGAGGUUUUAGUUGAGAGACGUGCCUACACCCCCAGCUUCACGUACUUCUCAUGCUUCUUCUGAGUCAUCUGAUGGCUCAGAGGAGAGGAGUGAGCCUUCAGCAUCGGCCUCUCCACCUAGACAGGAGCCAAUUGAUGUAGAUGCUGAGAUACGGGAUGAUAGGAGAGGGGGUGAUACCCAGACUGGAGUGUUGGAGAGAACACGGAACCUGGUGGUUUGGCAAGAAAGAUUCAUAAGUGAGAAAGUCUACCACAAAUUCCGGGAAUGGUGGCCUCAGAGGUCACUCACACAUGAGAGGCAUUUCAUAGAAAAAUAUCUUCUACCCCACAACCCUAAUGUGAAGCAACAAUUUGAUGAAAAAGUGGGGUGGAAGUUCUUCACAAGCAAGCUACCGGAUGCCAAUGAGCAUUUAGUGAAAGAGUUUUAUGCCAAUGUUGCCCACAUCAAAAAGGGCACAUUUGUGACCAAGGUGCGGAACCUGGAAAACAAAUUUGAUGGGAAGACUCUGAAAAACUAUACCGAAUUCAAUGAUGAGGAUGAGUCUUUGUACUUGGAGAAGGUGGCCAUGGAUGAGUUGGUCUGCCCAUGGCUGGCAUCAAUAAUUGUUCUCCCGGAGACUACUCCAGCUUGGUUGACACUAGGUAUCCCAAUCUACCGAAACACAUUAAGCUUUGAGGCAAAGGGUUGGGAGACAUUCGUGUGCAACCGGUUAGACCCCACUACUCAUGAUAGUGACAUGCCGGUCUCCUGGGCGAUUAUAGUGGGGGCCAUCAUGGUGGGGUACCCGAUCAAUAUCGGGAAUAUCAUGUCCAGGGUGAUCACCAUAGUGGUCAAACAAAAUAAGAGUUCCUACCCAUUCCUGAACUUCCUCACUAUGUACUUGGAGGAUCAGGAAGUUGUGGGAAGGGAUUUUGAUACAAAGGUGAAACCUAAGAGGCCCUUCUCAUGGUACAGUCUUCAGGGUCCAGGCAACCCUAAGUUCAAGGGAAACGCCUCCACUUCCACUUGCCAGUCUGAAGAGCCAGGGGUGGUGGCUACUGGUUCCGAGCCUCCUACUGCCAUACCAUAGCCUCCAGUCGGACCAUCUACUUCCAUGCCUACUACGGUGCCAUCUUCAUCAGCUUGCCCUCUCACUGCACUGAGGGUUAACAAGACUCUAUCCUACAUUAACAACUGGAUGCAAGCAGCUACAUCAAAGCUAGCUAUCAUAUCCAGCACCGUGGCAGCUCAGGCAGUUCCCGCUCAGCCUCAGGUGCUAGCUUCCGUGGAGGAAUCACUGAAGGAGCUUCUGGACAACCAGAAGUUGAUUAUGGAUGCUUUGGAGGCCCAGGGAAAAGUUAUCAUAGACUUGAGCAAGCAAACAAAGAAGAUGAAGAAGACUCGAGUUUCAACGGAGCCGGUGAAGCUGCUGAGGAAGGAGGUGGACAAGAUUAGAUCUGGUGGGGACAUUCCAUUGGAGCUAUUACUAAGGGACCCAGUUCCAGCAGCUCAGGCAGGGGAGCAGGAAGCUGAUAGAGAGCCUAUGAGGAGAGGGGUGAUUCCCUAGACAGAUUACUUUGUGAUUCAGCUGGAGGACACUGAGGGAGGUGACCCAGGGACCCAGCCAUAGGACCCCACUGAUGUUCCGAACCCCAUUCAGACAGAGGAUCCAUAGGGAGUUUUAUUUAGUCUCUAACCCCUCCUUGAUCUUAUUUUUUCUUUUAGAAUUGAGGGCAAUGCUAGUUUUUAUUCGGGGGGGGGGGGAGUGGUCCUAUUUUGAUGAUUUGAACUGGAUUGUAAUUAUGAUACUGAUUUUUCUUUAUUGUUAUUUUUCACUUUUUGCUAUUUUUCAAUUUCGAUAUGUGUAUAAAGUUACUUUUCCAUGUAUAUAUUCAUUCCCCGUUAUGUAUAUUCGUCUAAAUCCCCUAUUGUACAUAUUCACUUUACUUUCUGUAUUUUACUUUAUGACUUCUUUUGCAAUUUUCCUUAAUAGCAUAGCUUCUUUUUUCAUUUAGUAGCUUCUUUUUUCAAUUUGUAGCUUACUUUUACAAGUUUUUGUGAUCAAUAAGCCUUUAGUUUUUUUUAAUGUCGUGGUUCUUUCCAAGGGUGGAGUUUGUGUGAACCGGGUGGCUCUUCCCGAUGAUGGAUGGCAUGACAACCUUCUUAAGGCUUUGAAUCCGUUUUCUUUUCGUUUUUGUGUAAAUAGUAGUAAUGAAUAAAAGUGUCUUAGGAAAAGCUUCACGUGGGCCUAACACAUUUAUCUUUGACCUUAUGGUUAGAAACAAAUUGAUGUGUAAAGGAUGGUGAUAGUUGUGACCUUUAGACUCUUGUGUUGGCUAAACAAUCAUCGAGUGGUUUUUAGGAGCCAUUUGUGUGGCUCCAUCUUAGCUAAAGUUGUUGUGGGCCCUCGACUCUGUUCUCUUUAGCAAUCCAAUAGCUUGUGUGGUGAGGUUUUGAUUUGCAAGUCCAAGUCCCGNNNNNNNNNNNNNNNNNNNNNNNNNNNNNNNNNNNNNNNNNNNNNNNNNNNNNNNNNNNNNNNNNNNNNNNNNNNNNNNNNNNNNNNNNNNNNNNNNNNNNNNNNNNNNNNNNNNNNNNNNNNNNNNNNNNNNNNNNNNNNNNNNNNNNNNNNNNNNNNNNNNNNNNNNNNNNNNNNNNNNNNNNNNNNNNNNNNNNNNNNNNNNNNNNNNNNNNNNNNNNNNNNNNNNNNNNNNNNNNNNNNNNNNNNNNNNNNNNNNNNNNNNNNNNNNNNNNNNNNNNNNNNNNNNNNNNNNNNNNNNNNNNNNNNNNNNNNNNNNNNNNNNNNNNNNNNNNNNNNNNNNNNNNNNNNNNNNNNNNNNNNNNNNNNNNNNNNNNNNNNNNNNNNNNNNNNNNNNNNNNNNNNNNNNNNNNNNNNNNNNNNNNNNNNNNNNNNNNNNNNNNNNNNNCUACCUUGAACCAAAAGCCUUCAUUACAUUUUCACAAAAGUCCUAUAUGAUUUUGAGUUGAGUGAGCUUAUAUUAGUGGUGAUUCACAUGAGGGGCAAGCUUAUGGUACUUAGAGCCGGACUUGUGACCUUCCUUUGAGAGAGAUGAGUGUAUUUUUCCAAAAUCCUUGUUCUGAGUGCUAUAAUCUAAAAUGAGAUUUGCUUAUGGAGAGCAGAGGAGAAAGAGUUUGGGUUCCACAAUGACCUAUGUAAUAGAGUGAGUUUCGUUGAUGAGUUAAGUCAACUCUUGAAGCUCUUGUGUCGCCCUAGAGCCAUGGUGCUAGAAAGGUUGUGUGUUGUUGAUAAUACAUUUGUGUUAGGGUAAUUGUUAGUCCUAAUUGAUGCUUGUUGAAGUCACCUUAGAACAGCUGAAAUUGUUCUUUCUUUUACUUUGUUGGAGUGGGAAUUACUUUGUUUACUUGAGGACAAGCAAAAGCUUUAGUUUGGGGGAGUUGAUAACUAUGGAUUCUAGCCUAUCUUAUGCUCUCUUUUGCUUAGGUUUUGGAUCAAAAUGUAUAAAAGUAUUCCCAAAAAUCUAACUUAUUGUGCUUGUUUGCAGGAUUUGAUCAAAAUGAAGCAAGAAAGUCAUAACCAGCUCAUAAAUGAGUGAAAUCUGCACAAGUUCAAAGCUGAGAGAAAUAGCGUUGAUAGCGGUGUAAGAGUGCGGCCGCGGAAGGACAACCGCUGGGGCAGCCACAAUUACGCUCCCAGCGAAAGAGAGGUUCAGAGAAGGAGUUUUGAAGGCAUCAGAGGCCGCUGACCGUGGUGAAAUAGCGUGGCAGCGGUAUUACUUGACACGACUGCGGUCCAAAUUCCGCCCUCAGCGGAAUUGAGAAUCAGAGGACUGGAGAUUGGAGCUCAACUGAAAAGCGCGGCCCGCGAACAUAUUUUGUGGCCGCGGUUGAAGAUAACGCUGAGGCGGUUGAUUUUCCGCUCCCAGCGGAAUCAAGUCCAGACCAAGCUCAGAAGAGAAGAACCGCGGUCCGGGCUUGCUUUUCCGCGGCCGCGAAACUCUAAGCGCUGAGGCAACCAGUUUUCCGCUAUCAGCGGAACCUAGGUAGGGGCAUUUUUGUCCAGUAAUUUCAGCUGUGUAUAAAUAGAUCUUUUUCAGAUUUUUAGGGUAUCUUUUGUACUGUGGAGCUAGUGAGCAGCCGUAUUUUACUACUUAGAGUAAUUUUAGAACAUCUUUAGUCUAUCUUAGAUUUUCUUCUUGUAAUUGACUUUUAUGGCUUAUAUUUCAUCAUCAUCUUUGAUUUCUACCUUUAUUAUGAGUAGCUAAACUCAUUAGCUAGGGUUAUGACCCAACCUUAGUGUGGGUAUUUAAUGGGUCUUCUAUUUUAGGGCUUAAUUGUUUAUGAGUUAGUGAUAUUUAGCUUGUUUCAUGCUUUAAUUGUAGAAUUGGUGGUUGCAAACACUAAUUCAUGCCUUUAUGACUUAGACUCUUCUUGAGAAAGAGGGACUAAGUCUAGGAAAUUUAGGCUAACAAAGAAUUGGGGUGUACUCAGAGAUUGAUAGCCCCAACUAAAGGAUUAAACCUAGAGAUAGUAAUAUACGACUUGAGCCAAUUUUACUUUUAUUGUUUGAACACCCAAUUGGGCUUGAGAAAGCCAAUUAGGGCAAAGUCACUCAANNNNNNNNNNNNNNNNNNNNNNNNNNNNNNNNNNNNNNNNNNNNNNNNNNNNNNNNNNNNNNNNNNNNNNNNNNNNNNNNNNNNNNNNNNNNNNNNNNNNNNNNNNNNNNNNNNNNNNNNNNNNNNNNNNNNNNNNNNNNNNNNNNNNNNNNNNNNNNNNNNNNNNNNNNNNNNNNNNNNNNNNNNNNNNNNNNNNNNNNNNNNNNNNNNNNNNNNNNNNNNNNNNNNNNNNNNNNNNNNNNNNNNNNNNNNNNNNNNNNNNNNNNNNNNNNNUAGAUACUCGCCUAGGUGUACGUCACUUCCCUAGUGCCUUUUAUCACUUGAGAAAACCCUUACAAAAAAAUAUUGUACUUAGAUUCUUUUCAGCAUU
rnacentral:lncRNA from 1 species